rnacentral:rRNA from 1 species
UACGGGGGGGGUAAGCGUUGUUCGGAAUUACUGGGCGUAAAGGGCUCGUAGGCGGCCAACUAAGUCGGACGUGAAAUCCCUCAGCUUAACUGGGGAACUGCGUCCGAUACUGGAUGGCUUGGAUUUGGGAGAGGGAUGCGGAAUUCCAGGUGUAGCGGUGAAACGCGUAGAUAUCUGGAGGAACACCGGUGGCGAAGGCGGCAUCCUGGACCAAUAUUGACGCUGAGGAGCGAAAGCCAGGGGAGCAAACGGG